CAGAUCAGAAGGUGAUUGUGGCU
rnacentral:ncRNA from 19 species